rnacentral:rRNA from 1 species
AUUGAACGCUGGCGGCAUGCCUAACACAUGCAAGUCGAACGAGUGGCGGACGUGUGUGUAAUGUCUGUGACCCUGCUCGAUGGAGGGGGAUAACUACUGGAAACAGUAGCUAUUACCGCAUACCUUCGGAUGUGCCCUGAUUGUAUGAUCUAGUAGGUGGGGUAACGGCUCACCAAGGCGACGAACCCUAGCUGGUCUGAGAGGAUGACCGGCCAAACUGGAAAUGAGAAAGGGUCCAGACUCCUACGGGAGGGAGCAGUGGGGAAUAGUGCACAAUGGGCGCAAGCCUGAUGCAGCCAUGCCGCGUGUAUGAAGAAGGCCUUCGGGUUGUAAAGUACUUUCAGCGAGGAGGCGUUACUCGCAGAAGAAGCACCGGCUAACUCCGUGCCAGCAGCCGCGGUAAUUC